UCUCAUUCCCGCACCCUUCCUUCUUCUCCCCGACGCCGCCGCGUGCCUUCUCCUUCGGUGCCCUAACCGCCGGCCACGGCUGUUCCUCUCUUUAUCUUCUCCUCUUCUCGGUGAAGCCGAGCCUUUCUUCCUCGCCGCCACCCACUUCCUUUUCUUCCUCACUGAUUCUGUGCCCUAACCGCCAGCACCCGAGCCGCCGGUUCUCGGUUCCCGAUCGCGACCCCGGUGUUUCCCUUGUGCCCGAGCAUUGCUGACACCGAGCAGGAGCCGAGCGAUUUCUUGCCCUAGGUGCCGACGACGCACCUCUCUGCCCUAGCGCCGGGCCGCCGUCGAGCCCUAGUUCUCCGGCCGACUCUUCCUUCCCGAGCCGCACCAGGCGAUGCCAUCACUUGAGGCCGGACGGAGCAGUGCAUACCCCUACUCCAAUUGCCCAGAUUCGGUAGCCAAUUUGUUCCUCUGCCUAGUGUCAGUAAACAAGCCUUCUUCCCUCUGUAUUGUCGUCGGCCACAAGAUUUCGAGCAUCAACAGAUUUCUAUAGCCUAUUGACAGAGAGGAAGAAGAUUUGGCAGCAAUAUACCUUUGCUGGCAACAACAAAUCGUGUGUGUGGAUCAACAAUCAAGGCUGUGAAUUUAGGUUGAUGCUGUCAGGAGGGAGUUCCAGUCGCUAGUCCCCACA